rnacentral:rRNA from 1 species
CCAGACUCCUACGGGAGGCAGCAGUGGGGGAUAUUGCACAAUGGGGGAAACCCUGAUGCAGCGACGCCGCGUGGGUGAAGAAGCGCCUCGGCGCGUAAAGCCCUGUCAGCAGGGAAGAAAAUGACGGUACCUGAAGAAGAAGCCCCGGCUAACUACGUGCCAGCAGCCGCGGUAAUACGUAGGGGGCAAGCGUUAUCCGGAUUUACUGGGUGUAAAGGGGGCGCAGACGGCAGCGCAAGCCAGGAGUGAAAGCCCGGGGCCCAACCCCGGGACUGCUCUUGGAACGGCGCGGCUGGAGUGCAGGAGGGGAAGGCGGAAUUCCUGGUGUAGCGGUGAAAUGCGUAGAUAUUAGGAGGAACACCAGUGGCGAAGGCGGAC